UACAGAGGUCUCAAGCGUUGUUCGGAUUCAUUGGGCGUAAAGGGUGCGUAGGCGGCACGGUAAGUCGGGUGUGAAAUUUCGAGGCUUAACUUCGAAACUGCAUUCGAUACUGCCGUGCUUGAGGACUGGAGAGGAGACUGGAAUUUACGGUGUAGCGGUGAAAUGCGUAGAUAUCGUAAGGAAGACCAGUGGCGAAGGCGGGUCUCUGGACAGUUCCUGACGCUGAGGCGCGAAAGCUGGGGGAGCGAACGGG
rnacentral:rRNA from 1 species